AGAGUUUGAUCCUGGCUCAGGAUGAACGCUGGCGGCGUGCCUAACACAUGCAAGUCGAACGGAGUUAUUAGACGGAAGUUUUCGGAUGGAAGAUUAAUAACUUAGUGGCGGACGGGUGAGUAACGCGUGGGUAACCUGCCUUACACAGGGGGAUAACACUUAGAAAUAGGCGCUAAUACCGCAUAAGCACACAUCUUCGCAUGAAGAAGUGUGAAAAAAUUUAUUGGUGUAAGAUGGACCCGCGUUUGAUUAGAUAGUUGGUGAGGUAAUGGCUCACCAAGUCGACGAUCAGUAGCCGGCCUGAGAGGGUGACCGGCCACAUUGGGACUGAGACACGGCCCAAACUCCUACGGGAGGCAGCAGUGGGGAAUAUUGCACAAUGGGGGAAACCCUGAUGCAGCGACGCCGCGUGAGUGAAGAAGUAUUUCGGUAUGUAAGGCUCUAUCAGCAGGGAAGAAAAUGACGGUACCUGACUAAGAAGCCCCGGCUAACUACGUGCCAGCAGCCGCGGUAAUACGUAGGGGGCAAGCGUUAUCCGGAUUUACUGGGUGUAAAGGGAGCGUAGACGGCAUGGCAAGUCUGGAGUGAAAACCCGGGGCUCAACCCCGGGACUGCUUUGGAAACUGUUAAGCUAGAGUGCAGGAGAGGUAAGUGGAAUUCCUAGUGUAGCGGUGAAAUGCGUAGAUAUUAGGAGGAACACCAGUGGCGAAGGCGACUUACUGGACUGUAACUGACGUUGAGGCUCGAAAGCGUGGGGAGCAAACAGGAUAAGAUACCCUGGUAGUCCACGCCGUAAACGAU
rnacentral:rRNA from 1 species